CAAUUUCCCAAAGAAAAGCUACAAAAAAACCUCCUCUUCCUCGUCUAAACCUGUCUGAACCGUAGUCUUCGAUAACCGCCUCCUCCUUCCUCUCAUUUCCCCAGCCAUACGGAUUUUUCUUCGCAAUCUAUACGAGACUUUUGGCCAUUCCGAACUUCCCCAAUCACUUUCCAACACCUCGUUUCUGACGAUUCCCGUUGCCGCCUUGAUACCUCUGAAAUCCUUAAUGGAGAUCACUAUUUCCUUCGAUUUAUACACGAUCAAUCCUCCCUAUUCUACCCUCCUCCUUCGCUCCACCUAUAUUCUUUGUAUGUUUAUAUUGUUAUGAAUCUUUGUAGCGGAGGUGAGUUGUUCGAUAGGAUCAUCUAGAAGGGAUAUUACUGCGAGAGAAAAGUUGCGGAACUGACCAGGAUUAUUAUUGGUGUUGUUGAGACUUGUCAUUCGCUUGGAGUUAUGCAAAGAGAUUUGAAGCCAGAAAAUUUCUUGUUGGUUAACAAGGAUGAUGGCUUCUCUCUUAAAGUUAUUGAUUUUGGCCUCUUUGUUUCCUUUAAACCAGCUUGUGUUCGAACCUUGCGAAGGAGAAAAUAUCAUCAUUACGGGUUUUUAAAUUAAAAAGUCUGAGAUUCCAUCGUUUAUACAUAUCAGAGAGAUUGAGUUUCGAUUUCCUGCUGUAAGUAUCUGGUUCCUUUUUGUAUCUGUAGCUUAUACGAUCACUGUUGUAUUUACACGCACCCUUUGAUGGCAUGAGAGAGAUCUGAUUCAAAGGUACGCUUUUCUUUAACCCCCUCGUCCCAGAUAUAACGUUUCAGGGUAUUAUGAGACUUUCAUGUAAAUAAAAUGUUUUGAAACUAGUGGAUUUUAAAGACAACUACGUGCAGUGAGGGCAAAGUUGUUUAAAAGAGAAGAUGGAACAAUGGGGCCAUGAUUGAGCUCUCUUUUUGUUGGCUUGAUUUUUUGGAUGCAUUUGUAUUUUUCAUUUUUUUCUUAAUGAAAAAUGUUGCAGUUAGGUAGCCAGUUGAGAUCUCACUUUUUUUCUUUUUUAGUUUUCAAAGCUAUAACUUGGUUUUUGAUAACAUCGGUAAAAGGUGUAUAAUUAAGCAAGAAAUUUAGAUAUGGAAACGGUGUUCAUAUAUUAAUUUUGAAAAACUAAAAACUAAAAACCAAAUAAUAACCAAACGUGACCUUAACUUGUUAAAACUUGGUUCCCAAGCAUUGACAUGUUGUAUUUUUGUAGAUUCGUUAUACUUUUGUUAAGAGUCAACUGAGACUUGAAAUGUCUCCCCCUUAUUCUGUUAUAAUUCAGGUACAGUGAGGAGGUUAACUGAUGGUUCUAAGCAAAUAUGGAUCCAAUAUUCUCUCAACUGAAAUGUUUCCAUGAUUUCCAAAAUGAUCAAUGCUUAUUUCCCUGACAUUAUUAUCCUUUUACGGAUUACUCAUGCAUCCUUUUACUGUUCACCGUCCAAUUUUAAGACAAGGAAAUUAGAAAUGAUGAUAUACAAUAUUUUCUUUCUAGUAUCAGGGAUGUUGAUUUUGAAAUAAUUGUUGUUGAUGAUGGAAGUCUUGAUGGUACUCAACAAGUUGUGAAACAUUUGCAAGGGGUAUAUGGUGAAGAUUUGCAGAGAUUGAUAAACAUUUGUAGGCAGUCAAGGAAGGCAUUGAAAGCCAACAGGUACUAUAUCACCCUUUCAACUCAUUUAAAUUAUUGUUUCAAUUGUAUGUGUUAUUGUUUUAUUGUUGUAUAACAUUUUUUUUCCUUUGGAGAAUAGGAAUUUACUGAAAUCCGAUUUUCAUGUGACUGCUAUAAGGCCUCCCACAGCUCCAGCAAACUUUUGCAAGUUUGCUUUCUUUUAAAUCUCAUAAAUUAUUAGUUCUUGAGAUUUUCCUUGAUUUUUUUACUCAAUAGUUUUCAUCUGCCAUUCACUUUGCAUUACUUUAUUAAAUUUUUUCAUGUAAUUCUUAAACUUCAGUAUAUGUGCAUAUGUGAUUGUUCAUUUCUUAGAGGGGAUCUAUUUUCAGGCCAAACACCAUUAUGUGAAGUUAAGUGAUCGUGUAGAUAGCUAGACGAUGGGGUAGGAUCUAUUUUCAGGCCACAUUUUAUUUUCAAAGCUACCUUGUUAGAGUUCUAAGGGAAAAAAUGGUUUAUUUUAAUAUUGUUUGAAGAAUGAUUGAAGUCAUCAGGUUGAAAGCUAAGCGAUUGUGUAGAUAGCCAGAUAACCGUUGUAGGUUAAAGACUGAGAAUGCGUUUAGUAUUUCUUAUUUAAGUCUUAGAAUUAGGAUCUUUUUUCAUGUACUGUUGUAGAAUGUAUAUUACACAAUAUUAAGAUUUCAUUUUGUGUAUACAAAUGUAAAAGACAAAUAUCAUAGUUUCUAAAAUAAUAUUAAUUUUAUUGAUUUGUUGGAGUGAAAAAAAUAUUUAUCUACAUGGACCCGAUGAUGGUUUAUAAAAAAUGGAAAAUAAUGCAACAUUUAAAUAAAGAUAAAUUUGUAAAAAUGGACUAAAACAAGGCCUUAAUGUAGGUUUUACACUGACAUUAUUAGGAUUUAUAAUAUCGGUUAUAAACUGACAUUGUUGACCUCUUUAAUGUCGGUUUUAAAAUGACAUUAAAGCCUAACCGACAUUAAAAGGCUUCAAUAACACUAUCAAAGAUGUCGAUUGAAAACCGACAUCAAAGAGGCAUUUAAUGUUGUUUUUAAACCUACAUUAAAGAUGCCUUUAAAGCCCAACCGACAUUAAAGACCUCUAAUAACGCUCACAAAGAUGUCGGUUGCCAAGUGACAUUAAAGCCCUUUAAUGCCGGUUUCAUUAAAGGCCAAAUUUCUUCUAGUGUCUAAAUCGUUGAAAUAUCGUUGCAAAAUACAAAUAAUGAAAGGUACAUUAUUAGUAAUUGGUAAAUUGGAUUGGCUUCUUCAUGAUUAUAGUUUUUUCUAAGAGAAUAUGUUUGUUUUUCAGCAUGAAUAGCUCAAUAGUUCAACUUUUAGCUUCCGAAAAACUUAAUGACGAUAAUUAUGCGGUAUGGAAAUCAAAUCUUAACACGAUACUAGUGAUUGACAAUUUAAGAUUUGUCUUAACUGAGAAAUGUCCUCAAAUCCCUACCUUUAAAGCCAAUCGAACUAGUCGAGAAGCAUAUGAUCAAUGGGUAAAGACUAAUGAAAAAGUCUGUGUCUAUAUUCUUGUCAACAUGUCUGAUGUUUUGGCAAAGAAAUAUGAAUCCUUAGGCACGACUAAAGAGAUUAUGGAUUCAUUAAGGGAAAUGUUUGGGCAACCAGAAUGUUGCUACCACAAAAGGAAGUUUUCAAGCGGAUUGUCCUUUAAAACUAAAGUUCGACCCUCAAAACCUAAUGCUCAAAUAAAAAAGAAGGGAAAGUAGAAGACUCCUAAGCAGAACAAGGGAAAGAAAGCUGCAGAAAAAGGUAAAUGUUACCAUUGUGGCCAAAACGGGCACUGGUUAAGGAACUGCCCAAAGUACUUUGUAGAGAAAAAGGCAAAGAAGGAAACACAAGGAAAAUAUUUCUUGGAAAAGGCUUUCGGAAGGCGAGAUCACUCUCAAGGUUGGAACAUAAGAGAUGGUCUCAACUGAAGCAGUGGGAGAUUUAAAGUUGUAUUUUAGAGAUAGAUAUAUCAUACUUAAGAAUGUCUUGUACAUACAACAAAUGAAAAGAAAUUUAAUAUCUAUCUCUUGUAUUUUGGAACAAAUGUAUAUAAUAUCUUUUGAAAUUAAUGAAAUGUUCAUUUUCUAUAAA